GGAGGGGUAUCGAAGUGGUCAUAACGGCCCUGACUCGAAAUCAGGUAAUCGGAAACGGUUCGUGGGUUCGAAUCCCACCCCCUCUGCCA
rnacentral:tRNA from 1 species